GAGUUUGAUCCUGGCUCAGAGCGAACGCUGGCGGCAGGCUUAACACAUGCAAGUCGAGCGGGCGUAGCAAUACGUCAGCGGCAGACGGGUGAGUAACACGUGGGAACGUACCUUUUGGUUCGGAACAACUGAGGGAAACUUCAGCUAAUACCGGAUAAGCCCUAACGGGGAAAGAUUUAUCGCCGAAAGAUCGGCCCGCGUCUGAUUAGCUAGUUGGUGAGGUAAUGGCUCACCAAGGCGACGAUCAGUAGCUGGUCUGAGAGGAUGAUCAGCCACACUGGGACUGAGACACGGCCCAGACUCCUACGGGAGGCAGCAGUGGGGAAUAUUGGACAAUGGGGGCAACCCUGAUCCAGCCAUGCCGCGUGAGUGAUGAAGGCCCUAGGGUUGUAAGCUCUUUGUGCGGGAAGAUAAUGACGGUACCGCAAGAAUAAGCCCCGACUAACUUCGUGCCAGCAGCCGCCGCGGUAAC
rnacentral:rRNA from 1 species